rnacentral:rRNA from 1 species
GUGGGGAAUCUUAGACAAUGGGCGCAAGCCUGAUCUAGCCAUGCCGCGUGAGCGAUGAAGGCCUUAGGGUUGUAAAGCUCUUUCGUGGGGGAAGAUAAUGACUGUACCCCAAGAAGAAGCCCCGGCUAACUCCGUGUCAGCAGCCGCGGUAAUACGGAGGGGGCUAGCGUUGUUCGGAAUUACUGGGCGUAAAGCGCACGUAGGCGGACUGGAAAGUCAGGGGUGAAAUCCCGGGGCUCAACCCCGGAACUGCCUUUGAAACUCCCAGUCUUGAGUUCGAGAGAGGUGAGUGGAAUUCCGAGUGUAGAGGUGAAAUUCGUAGAUAUUCGGAGGAACACCAGUGGCGAAGGCGGCUCACUGGCUCGAUACUGACGCUGAGGUGCGAAAGCGUGGGGAGCAAACAGGAUUAGAAACCCGUGUAGUCC